UGGCUCAGGAUGAACGCUAGCGGCAGGCUUAACACAUGCAAGUCGAGGGGUAUAUUUCUUCGGAGAUAGAGACCGGCGCACGGGUGCGUAACGCGUAUGCAAUCUACCUUUUACAGAGGGAUAGCCCAGAGAAAUUUGGAUUAAUACCUCAUAGUAUUAUGAAAUGGCAUCAUUUUAUAAUUAAAGUCACAACGGUAAAAGAUGAGCAUGCGUCCCAUUAGCUAGUUGGUAAGGUAACGGCUUACCAAGGCUACGAUGGGUAGGGGUCCUGAGAGGGAGAUCCCCCACACUGGUACUGAGACACGGACCAGACUCCUACGGGAGGCAGCAGUGAGGAAUAUUGGACAAUGGGCGCAAGCCUGAUCCAGCCAUGCCGCGUGCAGGAUGACGGUCCUAUGGAUUGUAAACUGCUUUUAUACGAGAAGAAACACUACUUCGUGAAGUAGCUUGACGGUAUCGUAAGAAUAAGGAUCGG
rnacentral:rRNA from 1 species